rnacentral:lncRNA from 1 species
UGGCGUUGGAAAUGUGGCUUUGUGAGAGAAAAGUGAGCAUUCCUUCUGCUGGCGCAAGGGAGAGGAAAUGGGUAAUAAAACCAGGAGGAGAAAGAAAAAAACCCUCGGCGGCGUGCUGGAGCCAGUGAUUCUGGGAUCCACUUAAUUGCUCUUAAAUGAAAAAGAUUUUUGGCUUCCUAUUUGCUGUGUUUAAAGAAAAGUCAAGUCAAAUCCCACAUGUAUACCAGCCAAGCGGUGACUUCUCAUUCAGCAGUAUGAGCACUAAUCCCUCUCUUUCUGUGCUGCCAUCGGUAAUAUUAUUAUUAAUAUUGAGAAAGCUGCUGUUCACAGUCAGCAAACGCCAGAGGAAGCAAAUAUUCAGCCCUUUUGCUCACUUGCUAAAGCCAGAGAAGUCACUGGGGAAUGAGGAUAUUAAUACUAGUUUGGUGAAUUUGGAUUUUCCCCACUAUUAGUCUGACAAAUAACUCUUUGAUAUAAGAUUUGUACUUACAACCCUGUUUUCUCUGCUAUUUUAUUGUGAUUUCUGCCCUUAUAUCAAAACACUGCAUACCUUUUCUCAUACUAAGUGUAGUAGAAGUUUGAGUAAUGAGCCAGAAAAUGGCACUCAAAGGCAGCAAAAUGUAAUUCUUUUAGAGGAUAUGUUAUACAAUUGUACUUCUGCCAUGCCAUGCUGCACAACAGCGUGCUUGCAGAUUUCUUUCACCCUUCUGAUAUGUAUAAAAUUAAUUUAAAACUAUUCUUCCUGUUAGCAUUACACUGUUUUGUUCUAUUGUCACGUAAUUUAUCAGAAAUUCAUUCACAUUUGAGAGUAUUUGUUAUCAGAUCGCUACAAUUACUUGUCCUCUUGAAGAUAGCCCACAUUUAGGUGGUGCAUGAGUCGAAAAGCAAUCUGUUUAUUUAGGCUCACCACAUUGUGGUCAGCUCAAAUGCUACCACUUAACUUGUCCUCUACAGGCUUAAGUAGUGACCUUCCUGUUGAGUUUUGAUGGUCAAAUGUCCGUUUCAUCUUGAAUAUUUCAUGUAGACAUUUAAAAAAAGGGCUGUUUCUUCAAUUGUAAGGCUGACACCUAUCCUCAGUCAACUUUACUAAUCCCAAAAGAGCAAUUUAGACUUUGCACUCAGUACUUAUACAAACAAAUUUGGACAGGUUCAUGUCAGAGACAACAGAUAACCAGUACAUAAACAGAGAUGCUCUGGUCUGUACCCAUGUGGCCACUCUAUGUAAUGACUCGACUGGCCAAGAAUCAGAUGAAUUGAAUAAAAUAAGGAGUUCAGUAACAUUACUUACUUACUUACGCCUUGCACCCCUGUUGGAGUAUAGGCCGCUGACAAGGGACCUCCAGAGUACACGUCACUGGCGUUCUUUUCUAUCUGCAACCAGGUGCAUCCCAGUCUCUUGGUGUCUGCCUGGAGAUCUCGCCGCCAGGUGUUUUUAGGCCGGCCUCUGUUUCUCUUCCCUGAGGGUUCCAGGUCAGAGCCUGCCUGGUGGUGUUUGACUCUGGUUUGCGUAGUGUGUGCCCGAUCCAUCUCCAUCUUCUUCGUCCAAUUUCGUCUGCUGCUGGGAGUUGUUGUGUCUUUAUCCAGAGAUCAUUGUUGCUGAUCUUGUUCGGCCAGUAGAUUUUCAGGAUUCUUCUUGUUUGUGAAGGUUUAUAGCUUGUGUAUUGUGAGCUUAGUGGUUCUCCAUGUCUCUGCCCCAUAGAGCAAGACAGAUUUAACGUUGGAGUUAAAGAUUCUGAUUUUUGUUACUUCCUGUAUCUCUUUAGAGCGCCAGAUGUUAUUGAGGGGUAGAAAUGAUGUUCUUGCAUCAGUAACUUUAGAUUUGAUAAAUAAGGCACACUAAGAUAUUGAAAGUCUACAGUGUGAUUGUGUAUGAACAAACAAACAGGCUACUGCCAUAAUAUCAAAUGUAACCAGUUUGUGGUUAGUGCACCAGCAAAAUACCAUCAUGAAAGUUUUUCUACUAUCAAGGCUGAAAAGCCAGAUGGCACAAGAAAUGAAAGAUUUAGAGUAACGGCUUGCUUUCCUAACUGCUGCUACAAAGCAGCGACCUGAGGGCAUCAACCUGAACUCAGAGAACAAGAUGAGGUCGUGUUGGGAAAUUAUUCCUUCAGCUUUUUGUACCAUCUGUCUCUUCCACAGAGAACACAACUCUCCGUGCUGGACUCUGCUUAUUUUGGAGCAGACUUUAUCAAUACUGUAAAGGUUAUACUUGUCUUUUACAGACAGAGCAUCAAACCCGCAGAUAAAGGGGAGAGUUAAAAUACUUGCAAUGAACGACUGUUAAAAAAAGAAAAAUCAUAUGAUUUUGUCAGUCAGUGGAUUCUUCGCUGACCUUGUGUGCAUAUUAAACCGAAGCUGAGACUUAAGAAUAACUCUUAAAUAUUUGUAGGAGUCAACAGCCUUGACAUCCCUGCCUCAGAUUUUUUAACAGUUUAUUUCUGAGACAUUAAGGUCAAGGAAGUUUUCAUCACACCAGUAAAUAAAAGCAGGUAGGGCACUAGCAUGAUCUGUCUCUGUACCUCUGAGAAGAGACAAUAUACAAUUUCACCAGGUAGCUGCCCUCUUUACAAGAUCUGGGGCUGUAAGUGUAGAGAGUUGAAAAAAAGGGGGUGUGAAAGAAGACAGCCUUGAGGUGCACCUGUGUUUGAAAGUAACACAUUGAACAUAAGACCGUUAACCAAAACCUGCUGUUUCAGUCGGCGAAUAAAAGUCCAUCAUGAGAUUUUGGUUUCUCCUAAUGCUUAGGAUAGAUAGUUUUGCAUCUUCUGCCCCUUUACCAGCUUGAUAAGCAAACUGUAAGGGGUCAAGUUUAUCAUACACCAAGGAGACGACCUCAUACUUUAAAAUUCUCUCAAAAGUUUUAUUACAAGUAAAGUGAGACCUACAGGUUUUCCAAAUUGAUGAUUGAAGUUUCCCAAAUAUCUCCAAAUAUUGCAAUAUUUCAUUUUGAGUUUCAGAAAAUUACCAUUUUCAUAAAUACCAUAUAUCUCCUCUGUACAACCAACCACAGUAAUGGGGAGGACUGCUGACAUGACAGGUGUCCAUAGGAGGAUCACUGACACCCUCCACAAGGAGGGUAAGCCACAGAAGGUCGUAGCUGAAAAGGCUGGCUGUUCCCAGAGUGCUGUAUGGAAACAUAUUAAUGGAAAGUUGACUGUAAGGGAAAGUAUUGUAGGAAAAAGGUGCAAAAGCAACAAGGUUGACCACAACCUUGGGAAGAUUGUCAAGAAUAGUCGUUUGAAAAAUCUUGGGGCAGCUUUACGAGGACUGGACUCAGGCUGAUGUCAGUGCAUCAAGAGCCGCCACACACAGACAUCUUCAGGAAAGGGGCUGUAAUUUUUAAUAUCAAGCAACUCUCGACCCUGAGACAACACCAGAUGGGCUAAGGAGAAAAGAACAGACAUUUAAGUCCUCUUUUCAGAUGAUGGUUAAUUUUGAACUUUAUUUGGAAAUCACAGUCCUGGAGUCUGGAGGUGGAGAGGGCAGGCAUGGAAACUACAGAGUUUGAAUUCAUGUGAGAAGUUUCUGCAGUUUGUGGUGAUCUGGGGUGACCGUGGCAUGUUAUUAAGUCCACAUAUUUUGAAGCACUUCCUGCUUUCAUCUGCGUACAAACUUUAUGAUGAUAAAGAUUUCCUUUUCAAGCAGGACUUAGCACCUGCUCACAUCGCCAAAACUAGCGCCCAAUUGUUUGCUGACCAUGCAACCCAAUGGAGAAUGUGAUAAAUCGUAAAGAGGAAGAUGAGGUGUUUGUCACUUUUUUCCUUGUUGUUUGUAUUUUUGUCUCUUUUCAUUCAGCAGAUCUAGACAGCUGAUCAGUGCACUGCAGGUGGAAGAACAGUUAUUUCCCUCAGCAUGUACAUGACAGUUUGUGUAUCACAUCUGCAAAUAGUGCAAAAAACAUGGUUUUCUGACAGCAAAGUUCAAAGCUGAAUAUGCACUUACACCAAGAAUAGUGCUUUGGUUGGAGUUUGUUAAAAUUAGCCUAACUCUGCGGUAAAGCUGACCCCUUCGGUGGCGGUUUAUAGCCAAGCUUCCUUUCCAGUUUGUGGCGGUUUCUUUACUGAAUUUUAAGUACCUCAUACAACCCUACUGCAAAAAAGAAAAACAGAACUAUCCCUUUAAAGGCUAGCCUUGGCUAUUUUCUGACGGUAGUUAAUAAUAAUAUGGUAAGAUAUGAUUCAGAUUUCAUCAUAAACUGUCAUUCUGUCUUACGACCAGAUUUCAGGUGCACAACAAUCCAGUACUAGAGUAAUUGUGUAACACUUAUUCAGUUUCCACCACAGAGCGUGAGUCUUUUUUUUUCACCACUUACUCAUCCUAUCACUGUUGGUUUUUUUUUGGUUCUGUGACUUCCUGUUGAAUGAAAUAUUCCAGUAAGUCUUCUCUAUGUUUUCAUCAUUGCCCAUUUUUGUUUCUGAGUGCUCGAGUCGGGUGUGAAGACGCCACUCAGCAAGCCAUUAAGGCCUGAAGCGCCACGCUAAGCUGUCAUGUCGAGUCAGCCCGGUUCCUUUUGUACUCAUUAAUUGUUGAGAGAAGUGUGUCACAUCCUGUCAGGCUGACUGCUGGUGUCCCUAUGGUCACCCCUCAGUGCCCGCUGCCCGCUGUUGCUAUUGUGGCAGCGAUUGCAGCACAGGAGAGGAGAGUCAGGCCCUGCAGGAUGUGAGACAAUACUGGGAAGGAAGAGGAGGGAAUCCCGGAGCUGUGUGCAGAAGCCAGGACAGCAGAGUGUCUCUGAGAGCAGUCCCCUGUGACUUCUCCCCCUCUUCCCCUGAGGAUAAACUUUGUCAUCCUCUCACCUCUCUGUGUCGAAGGAAUGAAAACGAAGAGUUUGUUUGUCUCCUUCACAGCUCUUUUCUCCUGUUCUUUAUUUGAGUGGCGAUAUUUCUGUUUGGCUGGCUUCAGUAUAAUCCACAGCAACAAGUUUUCUUAACACCUCUAUUUCACUUCAGCGAGCAACAUAGAAACCUUAAAUAAAUGAUAUGACAGUAUUCUCAGUUUCAAGAUGACAUAAGGAGGCAAUUUGUGGUGAUCCAGGCUUCAUCAUAAUUAAAUAAAAUAUAACGACAAUCUGCUUUUUAUGUAAGCGUAUUGCAUUCAGUUGAGAGAGAGAAAUUUACUCUGUUUUCCUGAGUUAAUGAGACGCUGGUACCUCAAAAUCCCAAUGGAAGCUCUCAUUAAGAUCACUCAAAGAAGCAACCAUGACUGUUCAGUUUAAUCCAGUAUUAUUUUGAUUUGAGUCUGAGCCAUUGGUGGAAACUUGUGUCUAUAGGAAGAACUGAAUUGUUAAUGUUUGGUAUAAGAAGCCUAUUAGUUUGUGGAUGUUGCAUUGGUGCAUUAGGGCUCUGCAGGACUUCACAGUGUUUCUUCUUAAAGCAAAUAAAGCUGCUUUAAGAUGAUGAAUUUAAAAUGCAGUCAGGCUUGAAUUCAGAAAUAAUAACUGAAUAAUCAACAGUACACGAAGCAUUUGAUAGCUUUUUUCUUUCAUCAUCUAUUUAUCAUCCAAUCAGAAAGUAUGUGACAGCUUUCAAAUGAUUAGCCUAGUGCUCUUGGCUAGCUAAUGCUGCAUUCAAGUUACUUCAGAAGUCAGAAUUCCAAGCUAGGAAAGGCGUCACACCCGAGUUACCAGCGUUUUGGUUACCAAGGCGGAAAAAAGCAGAAUCAGAGAAACAAGAUGGCUACAUCUACAAAAGUUUUAUUUGCGCUUGCCUUGUCCAAAAUAUAAGCAAGGACAUGGCAAGCGCUAAAAUAAAAUUCGUAGAUGUAGCCAUCUUGUUUCCGCCUCCGAUUUUGCUUUUUUCCGACUUAGUAACUGAAACGCUGCUAACUCGGGUGUGACAUCAUUCUCACUCAGACAUCUGACUCGAACGCAGCAUGAAUACUACUGUUGUUUUUAGGAUACCUGAACGACAGAGCUCGUUUGCUCCAUUUUCAAAAGUUCUAUUCAUUGAAAAUUGAAUCUAUAGUUAACUAUAACGUUACAUAAGCAAAAACCUGAAUCUUAACACCAGUCUGCUGUCACAAAGGUAACCUUCAAACACGUUAAUGCCCAGCAGGAAUGACAUUUAGUCUAAUACAGCCCCGUUUUUGUUGAUCCUGAUGGAAUGCUAACAUUUGUUGACUUGUAUUAAAUGUCAAGUACAACUGAGGCUAAUGGCAAUGUUAUUCAGUUUCACAUUUUUGUCAUGAACUGGAGUAUCUGACAACCGAUAAAUUCUGAACAAAUAAUAGGGAGUGAAAAAAAAAAAGCUGUAAGGUGAUUGCCAAAAAAAGCGGUCCAUCCUCAUGAGAUACGGCCCAGCAAAUAGCUUUCCCGAAACUUCAUCCAACAGUUUUCCAGUUUCACUCAAACCCAUAUUUUAUAUGUCAUAAAGGAUUAAAGUUGGGAGGCCAAUUAUGUCUCUAGAUGUCUCGUACGAAUGCUAAGACUGUCUUUGGCCAUUGUUAAUCUUGUCCAAAAUCGACACCAACAGACAGAUAAAACAAUUCUGCAAUCCCUUGACACCACUUAGCAUAAAAAUGUCAUAAUAGCUGUUUACUGCCAUGGCACAGUCAUAGAAAGCAUAAACCAAUCACUUCGAAAAGCCUCACAUAAACGCUCUUAAUAGUGUUGUUCAUAUUGAGUAUUAAAAAUCACCUGUUGUAAGUUUAAAGAAAGACUUGAACUUCUUAAGAGUUUAAACAUAAUCCAUAUGACAGAUUUAACGACACCUCUGUGAGCUCGGUAAGCUGCUUGACUGUGGAGACCUGGACCCUGGGUGCUCGUGUUAAAUCAAAAGCAAUUACAUAACAUUUUCUCAUGUUUCUGCAAGCAUAUAUAACACCGCUUCAGGAAACUAGCACUGGUCAUUUCUGUGUGACUGAAACAUUGGCUGCCAAAGUAGCCGUGCUUGAAUGGACUUCUACACAUGAAUCAGUGUUACAGCAAUGAUCGGCUACAUGUCGGGGAUGGGGAACUAAUGAAGAAGAAUCUGCGGUUGUCGGGUUGCGGUCAGAGUUUGCUCAUGCUGAGUGGCUGAAAUGCAGUCACACAAUUAUAAAAAAAACAAAACUGCAAGACCAUCCUUUUAAGGUUCUGCCUCUGGCCACUUGAAAACGUGUCUGUGGACCACAAAAGAUGAUGCAGUGUAUUGCUCUACAGACAAGCGGGGGAGCAAAAUAGAUGUCCAAAUAUUUCCAUGGCUCCUGUGGCCUUCUGCUUGCAUAGUCCUGGCAUGAGCUCAUUGGUGUGCGGCUAGUUUGUGCUCCCUCAGCACUGUUCUUUCCCAGUCUGCAAGUAUCAAUGUCGAAGCUAACUAGGCAUUGACAAAGUCCUUUGAGCUUACUUUCCCAUAGCCACCAGACUGUGGCUCCUUUUGGUAUUGAGGCCAGAGGUUUUCAUACAGGCAGAUUAUAUCCUUGUGCCACUUAUUACUGAAAAAGUGCGGGUCAUGCUCUCAGGUUGUAGUUGAUAUCUGAAACAAUUAGCUCUGUGCAGUGGUCACCCUGGUUCAGUGUGGAAGAAAGAACCAUUUUUCAUCAGUUGUAUUAAGGUAAGGAUUCCUGAAAGGUCAGUGAUGUCUUUUUAAGUGAGCACACGGUUAUGAAACUGUUAUUUCUUUAAUUCCCCCUCAGCAGUUAUUUUGGUAAGCUGGGAUCCAAAUGGAAAAAGUCGUCAGAAAAUGUUAAGAGGACCCUCUUUAGAGGGAUAAGAAUUCUUUUCAACCGCAGUUCAAAUCCUCCAAAGAGCGACUCUCUUGCGGUAUUUAACCAAACGAAUAAAUUGACAUAAAAUGUAUUCCUGAUAAUGCAAACAUGGGGAACAGAGGAGCCAGAAAUAACUCUCCCAGGCAAAAAGAUGUGGAAGAGAUUAAGGCUUAACCCCUGAAAUAAGCGAGUGGAGGCGGGAGGUUUGGAAAAUGAGAUGGGGGGGGUGAGAGGAGUUGAGGAGAUGGUGUCUGCAGGGGUGAGCGUGUAUGUGUGUGGGGAGUCCACAGAGGGUUAGGAGAGUGAGAACUUAGCUGAGAGAGAGUAAAGGGGGGGUGGGGUUGGCCCUGUGAAAAGGAACUCAUAAAAGUCACAUUUGUUGGUGAUGCAUGAGGAAGUGAAGCCAGCUUUGGCACAUGUGUCUGUGGUGCUAAAUUAACUGUUAACACAAAUAAUCAAAGUGCAGGGCCCAUUGAGCGCUGGCGCCAGUGAAAUGAGGGGGAGAGGCUGGCUCGCUGCACUCUGA